AUGGACGUAAACACAGCUGCAUACUUCGCGAGGAAUAAACACAGACAUGGCACUGUAAAUCUGUAUGUGUAAUUUUGCGGGUUAUACUUACGAGACGAUUUAAAGUAAUUUAUGUGGUUAGAAGUGAUCAUCAUCUCGGCCAGUCUGUCUGUCUGUGACCGCGAAUGACAUUAACCGUGAACCAACGGGUGCUUUGGGAACGGUAAAUACACCAACAGAAAUGAUGAUGAAGAGGGAGACAGAGAGGGAACAGAGGGGGGAGAGCAAAUUGGUGUUACAGUACUUUUCAUCACCAGCAGACACAUACUCACAAACGUACUACAUUCAGUGACAUUUCAACUGUGGUGACGGCGCGGUGGAAGUAUCCAAGUGGCUCUGGUUACAACAAAAUUCAGAAAUUGAAUGCAUUCAUGUCUGUGAUAUUUCUGGUCAUGCUUAAAUGGACAACUGUGAAAUCUGUCUAUUUCGAAACGUAUUACGUUCAGUGACAUUUAAAUUUUAGUGACGGUGGAAUUAUCCAAGUGGCACUGACUACAGCUAAGAUGCACGAAAUAUACGAAUUAAAUUAUUUCUUGUCUGUGUUAUUUCUGAUUAAACUUAAGUGCAAACAACUGUAAAAUAUAAUGAUUUUAGUACAUUUCUAUUAAUAUAUUUUGUUGUGUUCAAGUGCUGGUAUCUGGGAAGAAAGGAGAAACUUGGAGAAAUGCGAUAAUGCUGGAGGAAAUUUUGUUUUGUUAAGUUUGUACUUGUGGUUGUGUACAUUAUACAAUACUGCUUUUUAACAAGUUUUAUUACUGUCACGCUGCUAACUGGACGAAACUUUAUGCAAUAUAAUAGUUAAAGUUUGUUGACAAAGAGAUCCAUUCUCUAAAUACGUGUUUACUCAUAUACGUGAAUUGCAUUAAUAAUUUCUAUGUAUUUCAAAACUGUUUUCGGUGAUAAACAUAACUUAAAAUACCCCCUUUCAAAACAUUUGAAGAAUAGAAAUAUGUAAUUGUAAGCUAGUAGUUUUGGAAUACUGGCAAUUGAUUUUCAUUCAGGAAUUAAACUCGUACAUGACAUUAGUUUCAAUGAGGCGUUUGCAGUGUUACUCAGACAUUCUACGCGAAUUCGGAGAUAUUACACGAUCCCUGUCUUUUCAAAACAUUUCAAUUCACAAUUAACUGUCCCUUAAAUAAACAACACGAGGCCUGUAGGAUUAGGGAACGUAAAUUUAAACAAUUUCAGUUUUUAUAGCCGCUCACUGCACUGUGUUAAUAAUAAAAUGCAAGUUUUAUCUAACUUUUUACUUAAAUACAAUGUUUUGUUAACAAAUUCCUCUCAUAGGUUUAUAUCAGAUUUCCGUAAGAUUUUUCCAUCCCUGGUACACCAUUAACUUGCCAAAGACACACCACAAAAUUUUACCACACAAAGGGAGGAGUUACAAACCAUACAUGACUAUAAAUAAUUCUCUAAAUAAAAAUCUGUGUUUUAUAGAAAUACGGCCAUAUGAAAACAAAACGUGUUGAAUAAAAGUAUCGAUGUUGA